AGGAAAUCGAAACAUAAGCUUCAAGUUGUAGAUCUCUUGCUAGUUUUUUGUUCUUUUUUUUAAUAAAUCUGACAAGUAUUGGUGGAAAAGACAUUUAUUCAACACAAAUUUGAGAACUGGACACUCACUGGGCCAUAUAUUAAGAAAAUAAUGUGAUUAAAUUAAGGCAACCAACUGUCCAUCCUGUUUUGCCUGUCUGUAAAGAGUUUCCUGUGACAUGGGAUAUUCAAGGUGAAAUCCAGGAAACUCCCAGGAAAACCAGGAUGAUUGGUCAGAUGAGAACAGAGUAUCAGUGAAGAUAACAACUUCAAUAUCACAGAGCUUGAAGAAAGGCAAAAUGACCAGAAAAAAUAGAGCACAAGAAGAGAGAAAAGCAAGAAGAGUCAGAAGGAAUGACAAAUUGAAAGAAUAAGGCCCCUGAAGUGUUCUUAUGCUUAAUUCUUGCAUGGUGCAUAUGUUUCCAUCCUUUUACUUUCAAUACUUCUGUGUUUUUACAUAUAAAGUUUGUAUUUUCAAGAAAGUAUUGGGUCUAACAGUCAUAUUGAAUCUGCCAAGACUUGUGUUUUUGCAUUAUUACAUUAAUGAUUAUUAUGAUAAAGUUAUCUUUAAUUUUUCACAGUUUAUUUAGAGUUAAAAUUGAAUGACUUUAUAUAAAAUGUUACAACUUUGAAACAAUACUAUUUUAUUUGCAUUCAUAUUUUGUACUAUUGUUGUCCCACAUAUUAUAUCUACAUUCAUAAUAAAUUUCACAUUAUUGCACAAAAAGUUUUGCUUUGAACAAAAUUAAGAAACUAUAUAUAUAUAAUAUUUACAUUUUCCCCAGAUUUAUCCUUUCUGACAUUUCUCCUUGUAUUCUGUAGAUAUAAAUUUUAUUCUAAUAUCAUUUAUCUUUAUCCAGAAUGGCUUUCUUCAGCAUUUUUGAAGUUCAAGUUUCCUGACAACAAAUUCUUUCAUUUUGUAAUAUUAAAUUUUUAACCUUUAUUUUUGAAAUAUAUUUUGUUAUGUACAAUUUUGGGUUCACAUGAAUUUUUCAGAGAUUCAAAACUUAAUGCUAUUCCAUUGUCUUCCAGUCUCCAUUUUUAAUUAAAAAAAUUUUUUUAGAGACAGGGUCUCGCUUUGUCAUCCAUGCUGGACUGCAGUGGCAAAAUCAUAGCUCACUGCAUCCUCAAACUCCUGGGCCCAAGCAAUCCUUUGCCCCCAGCCUCUCAAAUAGCUAGGACUACAGGCACACCACCAUGCCUAGCUAAUUUUUAAUUUUUUUCAUGGAGAUGGGAUCUUACUAUGUUGCCCAGGCUGGUCUCGAACUCUUGGCCUCAAGUGACCUUCCUGCCUUGGCCUCCCAAAACAUUGGAAUUACAAGGGUGAUUCAUGGAGCCCAGCUCUUCAUUAUUUUUAAUGGGAAGUUAGCUACAGAAAUAUAGAUGUUUCCCUUUAUGUGAUGUGUCAUUUUCUCUGGCAGCUUUCAAGAUUUUCAUUUUAUCCUUGGUUAUCAGCUGUAUGACUGUUGUACUUAGGUGUCAUUAUCUUUCUAUUAUUUGUAUACUUGGAUCUGUAAUUUUAUAAUUUUCCUCAAAUAUCAGAAGUGUUUGUCAUUACUUAUUAAGGAAUGGCUUUUCCCCACUCUAGUUCUCAUUUCUUUCUGGGAUGCUAAUCAGAUAAAUGUUAGACUGCUUCAGAUUGUUUCAUAAAUCACUGGAUUUGUGUGUUUACUAUCAUUCUUUUCUGUGUUCUUCAGACUGAGAAAUCUGGUUGGUUGGCAGGUGCUGAAAUCUCUACUGCUGCUCUUUCAGCCUUCCAGCUGUUGCUUAUCACUGGGUCCCUUGCAAAUACCAAAUGAAGAGAAAAACAAAGAUUUGAGUGAAGUUUGUAUGUAGAUUUAGGGCUCACUCUCUAUAUCUGGGUUAUCUUUCUGUUUCCUCUCAAUCUUAUAAAUGCAAACUUUAUUCUUUAACUAUUCAAGCCAAAAAGGUUGCAAAUUUUUGUUUAAAUCCUAGCUAUCUUAUAUUUAGUGAACUGGAAUUUGUGCUGAUUGAAAAUACAGAUCUCUCUCCAUUCUCUUCUUUCAAGGAUCUAGUACUCUUUAGUUUCUGGUCUUUGUUUUCUUUCCAUUGUCAAUUUUUAUUGUAUGUUAGGCUUAUAGUUCAUAUUUUACCUAUAAGAGAGUUUGUUUAAUAAAAUCUACUAUGCUAUUAUUGGAAGCAGGACCUCCU
rnacentral:lncRNA from 1 species